rnacentral:tRNA from 1 species
GUGGACAUAGUAUAAGGGUAGUAUGACGGGCUUCCAACCCGUUGGUGCGAGUUCGAAUCUCGUUGUCCAUA